CCUACGGGAGGCAGCAGUGAGGAAUAUUGGUCAAUGGACGAGAGUCUGAACCAGCCAAGUAGCGUGAAGGAUGACGGCCCUAUGGUUUGUAAACUUCUUUUAUAAGGGAAUAAAACUAUGCCAGUUUGCCUUUUUGCAUGUACCCUAUGAAUAAGGAUCGGCUAACUCCGUGCCAGCAGCCGCGGUAAUACGGAGGAUCCGAGCGUUAUCCGGAUUUAUUGGGUUUAAAGGGAGCGUAGAGUGGUUGUUAAGUCAGGUGUGAAAUUUUGCGGCUCAACCAUAAAAUUGCCAUUGAUACUGGCAGUCUUGAGUACAGUUGAGGUAGGCGGAAUUCGUGGUGUAGCGGUGAAAUGCAUAGAUAUCACGAAGAACCCCGAUUGCGAAGGCAGCUUACUGAACUGUGACUGACAUUGAGGCACGAAAGUGUGGGUAUCAAACAGGAUUAGAUACCCUUGUAGUC
rnacentral:rRNA from 1 species